ACAAAAACAUGUCUCUUUGAUUUUUGAUUGUAAAGAGUUUGACCUGCCCAGUGAAUGUUAAUAUUUUAACGGCCGCAGUACUUUGACUGUGCGAAGGUAGCAUAAUUAUUUGCCUUAUAAUUGAAGGCUUGUAUGAAUGGUUUGACGAGAAUAAAUCUGUCUUUUAUAAAUUUUUUUGAAUUUAACUUUUAAGUGAAGAGGCUUGGAUUUUAUUGAUAGACAAGAAGACCCUAUCGAGCUUUAAUUUUUUAUAUAAGUUUGUAUUUAUAUAUUAUUUGUAAAUUUUAGUUGGGGUGACUAAGGAAUAAUAUUAAUUUCCUUAAUUUUUAAUUUAAAUUUAUUUAUUUUGAUCCAUUGUUGAUGAUUAUUAGAAUUAGUUACCGUAGGGAUAACAGCAUAAUCUUUUUUUAGAGUUCGUAUUGAGAAAAGGGUUUGUGACCUCGAUGUUGGAUUAAAAUUUCCUAAGGGUGUAGAAGUUUUUAAGGGUUAGUCUGUUCGACUAUUAAAAUUUUACAUGAGCUGAG
rnacentral:rRNA from 1 species